CUCUGAAGGGAGGGCAUCUCUUUAAUGUAGACUGCUUAUUGCAAAGGAGUGCUGCAUAGCUAAAGAGCCUUUUCCCUAGUUAGUGUCAGCAGCGUGUGGAAUUUCCUUUGGUCACUUAAUGUCAUCUUAUAGACAGCAGCACUGCUUCAUGGCUGCAACAGGGCUGCACUUCAGUCUUUAUUAAGUUAUGGGAAUACAAGAUCGAGACUGACACAAGGUA